rfam:Cajanus cajan Scaffold128446_12, whole genome shotgun sequence.
GAGUGCAUUGUCGGGCAAUAACUCCUUUGGAAGCUAGUUGGCCAAACAUGUCCAUUCGGAUCAUGAAGGGGGACACUGCCAAAGGAGAAUUGCCCAGCAAUUCAUUC